CAAAUGACUCUCAGCAACGGAUAUCUUGGCUCUUGCAACGAUGAAGAACGCAGCGAAAUGCGAUACCUAGUGUGAAUUGCAGAAUUCCGUGAAUCAUCGAGUUUUUGAACGCAAGUUGCGCCCCAGGCUCGUCUGAGGGCAUCCCUGCCUGAGCGUCCUU
rnacentral:rRNA from 1 species